rnacentral:lncRNA from 10 species
UCACGCCACUGCACUUCAGCCUGGGCAACAGAGCGAGACUCCGUCUCAAAAAAAAAGAGAAAAAGAAAUUCUAAAAACCUACAAUAAAUGUUGUUUUCUUCAUAAAAGCACAUCUACACAUAACUAUGAGGACAUUGCGCAUAGUUCUAGUGUAGUACUGUGCAAAAAUAAUUUGCAAUCUGCGGUGAGGGUGCAAAGUAUAUCAGCUGAAACAGUGACCUUUUAAGUCUUCCUAGGAAGUUUAAGUGGAUCCCUCCCCCUAAGCAGGCCAAAUCUCUUAUUCCUGUUUAGGAAUCCCAUCUCCCAGUCUGCUUUUAAGAUAUCUGCACACCCGGAACCUAAAAUCUUCACUUUGGGGGUUACCCAUAUCUGCAUGAGGCAGUGCAAACGUUAAACCCCCUUUCUCUCUCUCUCUCUCUCUCGUGUCACCACAGUUGCAUUUAUCAUAUUGCAAAGAAAACUCCACAUUCAAAUCAUGAAUAAUUUAAUAGUGAAUUAUUUUGGCACAAUCUUAGGAAGGAGUGGAGAACACAUCUAAUAUUAAGAAUUUGUCUAGAAGGAUCUUGUAUUUUAUCUGAGUCUAAAAUUUACAAGUGCAAAGAUGAUGGAGUCUUUGACCACUUACUUUACUGUUUGGAGAUUUUGCUGUUUCUAUAAAUUCACCUGAAACUCACGCAGUGCAGUUCCUGGGAUGGGGAAACAUCUUACUGUACCGUAACAGAACGAGCCUUAAGGAUUCGUAAGCAUAAGCACUUUUAUAUUUAAAGGGAAAUAUUAAUUUAUCAGUGAAAUUACUUUUUUAAUGUCUCAAUAAACCUUGAAAUCAACAUCACUCUGUCUCUAAAACAUCCUAGUGUCUCUUCCUUAAACUUCUUUCCAAGUAAAAUGUUGUCCUUUCACAUGUGUUACGUUUUGUCUUAAAUAUAAUCAACUAAUCAUAAAAAAACUACCUUUUCCCCUACAAAAGUAUGAAUCCACCCGACCUACUAAAAUGGGCAACAUCAUUGUAAAGAAAGGAGCAGCAGCCAGGGGCAGUGGCUCAGGCCAGUUAACCCAGCCCUUUGGGAGGCUGAGGCAGGCAGCUUGCUUGAGCCUAGGAGUUCAAGAUUAGCAUGGGGAAUAUGGUGAAACCCCGACUCUACAAGAAAUACAAAAAUUGGCCGGGCGCGGUGGCUCACGCCUGUAAUCCCAACACUUUGGGAGGCCGAGGCAGGCAGAUCACGAGUUGAGGAGAUGGAGACCAUCUUGGCCAACAUGGUAAAACCCCAUCUCUACUAAAAUACAAAAAAUUAGCCGG